CGUUGCUAAGAUAAAAAAAACACAUUACAAACUAUAGACAAGCAUUAGCAGAAGUGUACCUGAUAACCUAAAAUAGGUACGCAACGCGUACAUGCGGUGUGCAAGUAACUAAAGUAGAAAUUUUAAUUUCUGUGCAAAUGAGAAGAAACUGAUGAAGUUACGUGAUGUUUUUCAGAAGAACCACAGUAAAUGUAAUAAACAGUCGCACCACUUUGCUUUGGCUCGGUUCUGUAUAUUUAAACAGAUUACUGGUUUCAGUUGGCCACCUCAUGACCAGACAUCUAUGAUUUAACAUCUUUGUGAUAUGCACUUUGUCAAAGGUAACAAAGGCCAAUUAUUGACGAAGAUACUGUUUUGUAUUGGAGCUGAGCUAAUAAAAGAUUUUAAUUUCAUAAAGUUAAUAAGUUUGACAUGACCAACCUGCUUCCUCCUUUCACACAAAGUCCUGGUGUCGUUAUGUUUGUUAUUGUACCAACAAGUGUUCUGCUUUCUGGUUCGAUGAUGUGAAUAUGAUCGCCAGCAAAGACGUAAAAUGCAUUGUAAGGUGACGGUGUUACUGCAGCAUUGAUGCUUGAUUGAAGAACUGUGAAAAGGCAUCGAAAAAAUAUAAAAUGUAAGAACUAUCUAAUAUUUCUUUAAUUGCUUUAAAAUAUUUCUAAUAACUAUAUUUUCCAAUGACCUACUGUCAGAAAGAAUACAGGCAUAAAUUAAUGAA